rnacentral:rRNA from 1 species
AAGACCUUGCGCUUUUGGAGCGGCCGAUGCCUGAUUAGCUUGUUGGUAAGGUAAAAGCUUACCAAGGCUUCGAUCAGUAGCUGGUCUGGGAGGACGACCAGCCACACUGGGACUGAGACACGGCCCAGACUCCUACGGGAGGCAGCAGUGGGGAAUUUUGGACAAUGGGGGCAACCCUGAUCCAGCCAUGCCGCGUGAGUGAAGAAGGCCUUCGGGUUGUAAAGCUCUUUCAGCCGGAACGAAACGGUUACGGAUAACACCCGUGACUACUGACGGUACCGGAAGAAGAAGCACCGGCUAACUACGUGCCAGCAGCCGCGGUAAUACGUAGGGUGCGAGCGUUAAUCGGAAUUACUGGGCGUAAAGCGUGCGCAGGUGGUUUUGUAAGUCAGAUGUGAAAGCCCCGGGCUCAACCUGGGAACU